ACGCGGGUCCCGCACGGCUGCGCUGCCGUGAACCCGGUCAGGCGGGGAACCGAGCAGCCGUAAGCGGAUGUGCGCGCGCGCUGCGGUCUGCCUGCGUACU
rnacentral:SRP_RNA from 1 species